AUGGAUGAACACCAGGGAACUGGAUCGAGCGAACGAGGGAGACAGGGAAAACGAGCUAGUUCUUGGGCCGGCCUACAAGAGCAGCACAUGAGCGUCAGUUGGCUACCAUAUCAAAUCCUAUACUACAAGCUCAACAAGACGGCUCUCCGCCUCGCAGAAUGGAGUAGGAGACUUUUCUCAAAGGCCAAAAUUCACCACCAUGCCGCUCUUUUGGUGAUCCUUCACCUCGACAUCGCCCAAGAGGAUAGGCUCCUCUCCACCGAGGAGCUCGACCUUCGGGGCAGGCUUAAGAGAAGGGUCAUCGCCUUGGCUGUGCUACAAAGAUCGCACGAGAAACAAUGGAUUGGAUCGCUGCCCUCCUUUGCUCUUCAUCUUCGAGGAUCAUCCUCAAUGGUAUUGUCGGUGGUCCAAUUAAGCAUGGCCAAGGCCUCCGACAGGAUGUGGCCACGAGGAAGGGGCUCCUACACAAGCUCAGGGGAAGGGGCAAUGUUGAGGACCUCUCUUUAUGCGGAUGACGCGGUGGUUUUCUUGGCCCCGAUCAAAAGAGAUGUGGAAAAUCUUGCAUGCAUCUUGAGAGGCUUUGGUGAGGUCACGGGCCUCUGCACCAACUUCCUCAAGAGCUCGAUGGUGCCCAUCCAUUGCAACCACCUCUAUCUGGGCUGUUUGACCCAAAGCCUGCCAGCAGCAAGAGCUUCUUUUCCUCUGCGGUACCUAGGACUCCCCCUCUCCGUAUGGCAGCUGAAGUUGGUGGACCUGCAAUUCCUCGUGGACAAGGUGGCGAGCAAGCUAACAACAUACUAG
rnacentral:rRNA from 1 species